rnacentral:ncRNA from 1 species
CAUGCCAAGUUCCUUGGAACAGGACGUCCUAGAGGGUGAGAGCCCCGUACCGGCUUGAGUGACCUUUGCCAUGUGAAGCUCCUUCGACGAGUCGAGUUGUUUGGGAAUGCAGCUCUAAGCGGGAGGUAAAUUUCUUCUAAAGCUAAAUAUUCGGUGUCUCCGAUAGCGAACAAGUAGAGUGAUCGAAAGAUGAAAAGCACUUUGGAAAGAGAGUUAAAAAGCACGUGAAAUUGUUGAAAGGGAAGCGCUUGCCCCCAGACUUGCCCGCGGUCGUUCAGCCCCCCUUCUGGGGGGUGUACUCUUCCGCGGGCGGGCCAGCGUCAGCUUCGGCGGCCGGAUAAAGGCUUCGGGAAUGUAGCUCCCCCCGGGGAGUGUUAUAGCCCGAGGUGCAAUGCGGCCAGCCGGGGUUGAGGAUCGCGUUCUGCUAGGAUGCUGGCGUAAUGGGUGCAAGCGACCCGUCUUGAAACACGGACCAAGGAGUCGACCAUGUGUGCGAGUGUUUGGGCGUCAAACCCACACGCGUAAUGAAAGUGAACGGAGGUGGGAACCCGCAAGGGUGCACCAUCGACCGAUCCUGAUGUCUUCGGAUGGAUUUGAGUAAGAGCAUCCCUGGUCGGACCCGUAAGUUUUUACCUACUCUUUCAGGUUUGGUAGAACGUAUACUAACAGUCUCUGCAGGAAAGAUGGUGAACUAUUCCUGGAUAGGCCGAAGCCAGAGGAAACUCUGGUGGAGGGUCGCAGCGGUUCUGACGUGCAAAUCGAUCGUCAAAUCUGGGUAUAGGGUGAGUUUUACCCUUAAUUAUCUAUUACUUCAGAGUUCUUGCUAACUUUUCUCUCCAGGGCGAAAGACUAAUCGAACCAUUAACGGCGACCUUAAAAUUUCUUUUUUGCUACCAGGUGGUUAAGAGGUUGUCCAUACUGGCAACCUAGUCCUCUAGAGGGCCCCUGUGGGGGCUCGUCGAUGGGCUACGCUUUUAAAUUGCGGGAACUUCCUCGCUAAACCUAUGGCUACCGCGGUCAUCCUUAACCGGUUGACGCAGCACCAGGGCAAAAGGCCCCGGGGAUGGUAAGAACGCCUUAAGGUUUGGGGAUAAUCCGCAGCCAAUUCCGUACUGACCCCCGUUCGUUCGGGGGUCAAGGAUGCAGUUCACAGGCUAAAUGAUAGCGGACCCUCCCAAUCUAUCAAGGGAUGGCUUAAGAUAUAGUCGUACUACCCUCCCGAAAGGGCGGGAACCCGUUUUCGAGACGCCACUCGUCUUGAGCGGGUGCAAUUGGAACCCAGUGCUGGUAGCUGGUUCCUGCCGAAGUUUCCCUCAGGAUAGCAGUAACGUAUUCAGUUUUAUGAGGUAAAGCGAAUGAUUAGAGGCCUUGGGGCUGAAACAGCCUUAACCUAUUCUCAAACUUUAAAUAUGUAAGAAGCUCUUGUUGCUUAAUUGAACGUGAGCAUUUGAAUGUACCGUUACUAGUGGGCCAUUUUUGGUAAGCAGAACUGGCGAUGCGGGAUGAACCGAACGUGGGGUUAAGGUGCCGGAAUGCACGCUCAUCAGACACCACAAAAGGUGUUAGUUCAUCUUGACAGCAGGACGGUGGCCAUGGAAGUCGGAACCCGCUAAGGAGUGUGUAACAACUCACCUGCCGAAUGAACUAGCCCUGAAAAUGGAUGGCGCUUAAGCGUGUUACCUAUACCCCACCGCCGGGCCAGAUACGAGGGCCCGGCGAGUAGGCAGGCGUGGGGGU